GACGAACGCUGGCGGCGUGCUUAACACAUGCAAGUCGAGCGGUAAGGCCUUUCGGGGUACACGAGCGGCGAACGGGUGAGUAACACGUGGGCGACCUGCCCUCCACUCUGGGAUAAGCCCGGGAAACUGGGUCUAAUACCGGAUAUGACCUUCCUCUGCAUGGGGGUUGGUGGAAAGUUUUUCGGUGGGGGAUGGGCCCGCGGCCUAUCAGCUUGUUGGUGGGGUGAUGGCCCACCAAGGCGACGACGGGUAGCCGGCCUGUGAGGGCGACCGGCCACACUGGGACUGAGACACGGCCCAGACUCCUACGGGAGGCAGCAGUGGGGAAUAUUGCGCAAUGGGCGGAAGCCUGACGCAGCGACGCCGCGUGGGGGAUGACGGCCUUCGGGUUGUAAACCUCUUUCGCCAGGGACGAAGCGUGAGUGACGGUACCUGGAUAAGAAGCACCGGCCAACUACGUGCCAGCCGCCGCCGUAACAC
rnacentral:rRNA from 1 species